GGUUCAGGAUGAACGCUAGCGACAGGCCUAACACAUGCAAGUCAGGGGCAGCACAAGGAGCAAUCUGAGGUGGCGACCGGCGCACGGGUGAGUAACACGUAUGCAACCUGCCUGUAAGCGGGGAAUAACCCGUUGAAAGAACGGACUAAUACCGCAUAAUACUAAAUUACUGCAUGGUAAUUUAUUUAAACAUUUAUGGCUUACAGAUGGGCAUGCGCAUGAUUAGCUAGUUGGAGAGGUAACGGCUCCCCAAGGCAACGAUCAUUAGGGGUUCUGAGAGGAAGGUCCCCCCACACUGGUACUGAGACACGGACCAGACUCCUACGGGAGGCAGCAGUGAGGAAUAUUGGUCAAUGGACGAGAGUCUGAACCAGCCAAGUCGCGUGCAGGAAGAAUGUCCUAUGGAUUGUAAACUGCUUUUGCAGGGGAAUAAAGUGCAUCACGUGUGAUGUUUUGUAUGUACUCUGCGAAUAAGGAUCGGCUAACUCCGUGCCAGCCGCCGC
rnacentral:rRNA from 1 species